CCUACGGGAGGCAGCAGUGAGGAAUAUUGGUCAAUGGACGAGAGUCUGAACCAGCCAAGUAGCGUGAAGGAUGACUGCCCUAUGGGUUGUAAACUUCUUUUAUAUGGGAAUAAAAUGUUCACGGGUGGGAUUUUGUAUGUACCAUAUUAAUAAGGAUUGGCUAACUCCGUUCCAGCAGCCGCGGUAAUACGGAGGAACCGAGCGUUAUCCGGAUUUAUUGGGUUUAAAGGGAGCGUAGGUGGAUUGUUAAGUUAGUUGUGAAAGUUUUGGGCUCAACCGUAAAAUUGCAGUUGAAACUGGCAGUCUUGAGUACAGUAGAGGUGGGCGGAAUUCGUGGUGUAGCGGUGAAAUGCUUAGAUAUCACGAAGAACUCCGAUUGCGAAGGCAGUUCACUGGACUGCAACUGACACUGAGGCUCGAAAGUGUGGGUAUCAAACAGGAUUAGAUACCCCAGUAGUC
rnacentral:rRNA from 1 species